GACGAACGCUGGCGGCGUGCUUAACACAUGCAAGUCGAACGGAAAGGCCCUGCUUUUGUGGGGUGCUCGAGUGGCGAACGGGUGAGUAACACGUGAGUAACCUGCCCUUGACUGUGGGAUAACUUCAGGAAACUGGGGCUAAUACCGGAUAGGAGCUCCUGCUGCAUGGUGGGGGUUGGAAAGUUUCGGCGGUUGGGGAUGGACUCGGGGCUUAUCAGCUUGUUGGUGGGGUAGUGGCUUACCAAGGGUUUGACGGGUAGCCGGCCUGGGAGGGUGACCGGCCACAUUGGGACUGAGAUACGGCCCAGACUCCUACGGGAGGCAGCAGUGGGGAAUAUUGCACAAUGGGCGGAAGCCUGAUGCAGCAACGCCGCGUGCGGGAUGACGGCCUUCGGGUUGUAAACCGCUUUCGCCUGUGACGAAGCGUGAGUGACGGUAAUGGGUAAAGAAGCACCGGCUAACUACGUG
rnacentral:rRNA from 1 species